rnacentral:rRNA from 1 species
GACAGGCGCUGCUACACAUGCAGUCGACGGAAGGCCCUGCUUUUGUGGGGUGCUCGAGUGGCGAACGGGUGAGUAACACGUGAGUAACCUGCCCUUGACUUUGGGAUAACUUCAGGAAACUGGGGCUAAUACCGGAUAGGAGCUCCUGCUGCAUGGUGGGGGUUGGAAAGUUUCGGCGGUUGGGGAUGGACUCGCGGCUUAUCAGCUUGUUGGUGGGGUAGUGGCUUACCAAGGCUUUGACGGGUAGCCGGCCUGAGAGGGUGACCGGCCACAUUGGGACUGAGAUACGGCCCAGACUCCUACGGGAGGCAGCAGUGGGGAAUAUUGCACAAUGGGCGGAAGCCUGAUGCAGCAACGCCGCGUGCGGGAUGACGGCCUUCGGGUUGUAAACCGCUUUCGCCUGUGACGAAGCGUGAGUGACGGUAAUGGGUAAAGAAGCACCGGCUAACUACGUGCCAGCAGCCGCGGUGAUACGUAGGGUGCGAGCGUUGUCCGGAUUUAUUGGGCGUAAAGGGCUCGUAGGUGGUUGAUCGCGUCGGAAGUGUAAUCUUGGGGCUUAACCCUGAGCGUGCUUUCGAUACGGGUUGACUUGAGGAAGGUAGGGGAGAAUGGAAUUCCUGGUGGAGCGGUGGAAUGCGCAGAUAUCAGGAGGAACACCAGUGGCGAAGGCGGUUCUCUGGGCCUUUCCUGACGCUGAGGAGCGAAAGCGUGGGGAGCGAACAGGCUUAGAUACCCUGGUAGUCCACGCUGUAAACGGUGGGUACUAGGUGUGGGGUCCAUUCCACGGGUUCCGUGCCGUAGCUAACGCUUUAAGUACCCCGCCUGGGGAGUACGGCCGCAAGGCUAAAACUCAAAGGAAUUGACGGA